ACAAUCCUGGCUCAGGUUUUUCUGCUCUCUGUUCCCGCAGGGCUCCGGGCGGCCGUGACCCUGCUGGAGUCCGGGGGGGACCUCCAAACCCCCGGGGCAUCGAUGGCUUUGGUGUGCCGUGCCUCUGGAUUCACGUUUGGCAAUAACGGAAUCAUGUGGAUCCGCCAGAGCCCCGGGAAGGGGCUGGAAUGGGUGGCACAGAUCAGCACCGGGGGUCGUUACACAAACUUUGCGCCAUCGGUCAAGGGCCGGUUCUCGAUCUCCAGGGAUGACGGGCAGAGCUCGGUGACGCUGACCAUGAACAACCUCAAGGACGAGGAUUCCGCCGUUUAUUUCUGCGCCAAAGAAUCUGGUGCUAAUGGCAAUCCUUGUGCCUUCACCACCACUGUUGAUCCCCCCGAGCCAUUCGAGCUCUGUUCCACGUUUUUGCCGGAUCCAGAACAUGUCAUAACUCCCGAAAUCGAACCCAGACCCACGGCAGAGCAGAGUCAGGGACCCCCCGAGGCGCUGGAGCCGAGAUGA